rnacentral:misc_RNA from 1 species
GAUGAAGAACGUAGCGAAAUGCGAUAAGUAAUGUGAAUUGCAGAAUUCAGUGAAUCAUCGAAUCUUUGAACGCACAUUGAGCCCGCCAGCAUUCUGGCGGGCAUGCCUGUUCGAGCGUCAUUUCAACCCUCGAGCCCCCCCGGGGGCCUCGGUGUUGGGGGACGGCACACCAGCCGCCCCCGAAAUGCAGUGGCGACCCCGCCGCAGCCUCCCCUGCGUAGUAGCACACACCUCGCACCGGAGCGCGGAGGCGGUCACGCCGUAAAACGCCCAACUUUCUUAGAGUUGACCUCGGAUCAGGUAGGAAUACCCGCUGAACUUAAGCAUAUCAAUAAGCGGAGGA